UACGAGGGGAGCACGUUGUCCGGAAUUACUGGGCGUAAAGCGCGCGCAGGUGGUCUUUCAAGUCAGUGGUGAAAGCCCGGAGCUCAACUCCGGAAAUGCCAUUGAAACUGUGAGACUUGAGGACGAGAGAGGUGAGUGGAAUUCCCAGUGUAGAGGUGAAAUUCGUAGAUAUUGGGAAGAACACCGGUGGCGAAGGCGGCUCACUGGCUCGUAUCUGACGCUCAGGCGCGACAGCGUGGGGAUCAAACAGG
rnacentral:rRNA from 1 species